rnacentral:sRNA from 1 species
UUUGACCAUAGUUAACGAUUCCGUUAGGGUAGUUGACGGAAGUUAACUCGGAAGUACA